CCAACUGCAAAAAAGAAUUAAGCAGCUUAACAACGAAUUACGCACGCUAGGUUAACCAUUACGGUUUUAUAAGUGCC
rnacentral:tRNA from 1 species